rnacentral:rRNA from 3 species
UUUAUGGAGAGUUUGAUCCUGGCUCAGAGUGAACGCUGGCGGCGUGCCUAAUACAUGCAAGUCGAACGAUGAAGCUUCUAGCUUGCUAGAAGUGGAUUAGUGGCGCACGGGUGAGUAACGCAUAGGUCAUGUGCCUCUUAGUUUGGGAUAGCCAUUGGAAACGAUGAUUAAUACCAGAUACUCCCUACGGGGGAAAGAUUUAUCGCUAAGAGAUCAGCCUAUGUCCUAUCAGCUUGUUGGUAAGGUAAUGGCUUACCAAGGCUAUGACGGGUAUCCGGCCUGAGAGGGUGAACGGACACACUGGAACUGAGACACGGUCCAGACUCCUACGGGAGGCAGCAGUAGGGAAUAUUGCUCAAUGGGGGAAACCCUGAAGCAGCAACGCCGCGUGGAGGAUGAAGGUUUUAGGAUUGUAAACUCCUUUUGUUAGAGAAGAUAAUGACGGUAUCUAACGAAUAAGCACCGGCUAACUCCGUGCCAGCAGCCGCGGUAAUACGGAGGGUGCAAGCGUUACUCGGAAUCACUGGGCGUAAAGAGCGCGUAGGCGGGAUAGUCAGUCAGGUGUGAAAUCCUAUGGCUUAACCAUAGAACUGCAUUUGAAACUACUAUUCUAGAGUGUGGGAGAGGUAGGUGGAAUUCUUGGUGUAGGGGUAAAAUCCGUAGAGAUCAAGAGGAAUACUCAUUGCGAAGGCGACCUGCUGGAACAUUACUGACGCUGAUUGCGCGAAAGCGUGGGGAGCAAACAGGAUUAGAUACCCUGGUAGUCCACGCCCUAAACGAUGGAUGCUAGUUGUUGGAGGGCUUAGUCUCUCCAGUAAUGCAGCUAACGCAUUAAGCAUCCCGCCUGGGGAGUACGGUCGCAAGAUUAAAACUCAAAGGAAUAGACGGGGACCCGCACAAGCGGUGGAGCAUGUGGUUUAAUUCGAAGAUACACGAAGAACCUUACCUAGGCUUGACAUUGAGAGAAUCCGCUAGAAAUAGUGGAGUGUCUAGCUUGCUAGACCUUGAAAACAGGUGCUGCACGGCUGUCGUCAGCUCGUGUCGUGAGAUGUUGGGUUAAGUCCCGCAACGAGCGCAACCCCCUUUCUUAGUUGCUAACAGGUCAUGCUGAGAACUCUAAGGAUACUGCCUCCGUAAGGAGGAGGAAGGUGGGGACGACGUCAAGUCAUCAUGGCCCUUACGCCUAGGGCUACACACGUGCUACAAUGGGGUGCACAAAGAGAAGCAAUACUGCGAAGUGGAGCCAAUCUUCAAAACGCCUCUCAGUUCGGAUUGUAGGCUGCAACUCGCCUGCAUGAAGCUGGAAUCGCUAGUAAUCGCAAAUCAGCCAUGUUGCGGUGAAUACGUUCCCGGGUCUUGUACUCACCGCCCGUCACACCAUGGGAGUUGUGUUUGCCUUAAGUCAGGAUGCUAAAUUAGCUACUGCCCACGGCACACACAGCGACUGGGGUGAAGUCGUAACAAGGUAACCGUAGGUGAACCUGCGGUUGGAUCACCUCCUUU